rnacentral:tRNA from 1 species
UCCCUGUAGCUCAGUUGGUAGAGCAUGGUGUUUGCAACGCCAGGGUUGUGGGUUUGAUUCUCACGGGGAG